CUACGGGCGGCACCAGUGGGGAAUAUUGCACAAUGGGCGCAAGCCUGAUGCAGCAACGCCGCGUGAGGGAUGAAGGCCUUCGGGUUGUAAACCUCUUUUAGCAGGGAAGAAGCGAAAGUGACGGUACCUGCAGAAAAAGCACCGGCUAACUACGUGCCAGCAGCCGCGGGAAUACGUAGGGUGCAAGCGUUGUCCGGAAUUAUUGGGCGUAAAGAGCUCGUAGGCGGUUUGUCACGUCUGCUGUGAAAAUCCAAGGCUCAACCUUGGACUUGCAGUGGGUACGGGCAGGCUAGAGUGCGGUAGGGGAGAUGGGAAUUCCUGGUGUAGCGGUGGAAUGCGCAGAUAUCAGGAGGAACACCAAUGGCGAAGGCACAUCUCUGGGCCGUAACUGACGCUGAGGAGCGAAAGCGUGGGGAGCGAACAGGAUUAGAUACCCUGGUAGUC
rnacentral:rRNA from 1 species